rnacentral:rRNA from 1 species
CAGUAGCCGCGGGAAUACAGAGGGUGCGAGCGUUAAUCGGAUUUACUGGGCGUAAAGCGUGCGUAGGCGGCUUUUUAAGUCGGAUGUGAAAUCCCUGAGCUUAACUUAGGAAUUGCAUUCGAUACUGGGAAGCUAGAGUAUGGGAGAGGAUGGUAGAAUUCCAGGUGUAGCGGUGAAAUGCGUAGAGAUCUGGAGGAAUACCGAUGGCGAAGGCAGCCAUCUGGCCUAAUACUGACGCUGAGGUACGAAAGCAUGGGGAGCAAACAGGAUUAGUUACCCCCGUAGUCCCUGUCUCUUAUAC